rnacentral:rRNA from 1 species
UACGGAGGGGGGCUAGCGUUGUUCGGAAUUACUGGGCGUAAAGCGCACGUAGGCGGCUUUGUAAGUUAGAGGUGAAAGCCCGGAGCUCAACUCCGGAAUUGCCUUUAAGACUGCAUCGCUUGAAUCAUGGAGAGGUGAGUGGAAUUCCGAGUGUAGAGGUGAAAUUCGUAGAUAUUCGGAAGAACACCAGUGGCGAAGGCGACUUACUGGACACAUAUUGACGCUGAGGUGCGAAAGCGUGGGGAGCGAACAGG